UCCUUGCAACAAAAUGUGACAACACUAACUGGCCAAGUCAACACUCUAAUUACCCAGAGAACAGUGGAAGCACGUGAUGAGACAACAACAACGAGAACCGGAAACACGUAGAUUCCUACUUUCGCUUCAUCCGGAAGUCAAAGAAGUGAAGAAGUAAACAAUGCCAAUGGUCUUAAUUUCAACCUGGAGACAGCCUACUCCGCUCUGAGAACUAACGCAUUGCCAACGGCUGCAGCGGGUAGCGAAGAACAAGCUCUUAGGAACAAUCGCUAUGUUCAAACACCAAGAGGCUAUUCAGCCAAGUCUUUGCCGUUUGUGGAAACAGUGACACCACAAGUAAGGAGAAGCAUUAUAACAGAUGAGGAAGUUUCGCUUACUACAACCACUGGCAGAUCGAGAACCAACACCUUGCCUGAAGCCAUCCCAGUUAAUGAUGAGUUGAUUCAACAAGUUGAUGAAUUAUGGGAAGCCUGCCUUUGUCAGAGUACAAAGCAGGCAUAUAUGACUGGUGUUAAAUGUUUUCAAAACUUUAUGGUUAUGAAUGGAAAAGACUGUUUUUUAAAUGCAUUGCCAUAUAUAGAUGAAAAUUGUUUGAUUUUUUUUGUUGCCUAUUGUAAAAAUUCGUUAAAACUAGCACAUUCAACUGUUAAAUUGUAUUUAGCAGGUAUAAGACACUAUUUUUUAAAACAGGGUCAUUCAGACCCGCUAGCAAAUACUGUUCGUUUGCAGUGCAUUCUAAGAGGUUUAAAAAAGUCUCAGUGUAAUAUACGUCCUAAACGAAUGCCUAUUACUUCUUCGAUUUUAAAAGAACUAUGUAAUUUGUUAAGAUCUGGGGUAUUUUCUCCAUUGGUUGAUUAAAUGCUACAAAGCGCAUUUAAUUUAGCUUUUUUUGGAUUCCUCCGAUGUGGAGAAUUUACUUGUCGUAGUAAAGACUUUUCUAAGGAUACCAUUGUUUCAAUUCAAGAUAUUUCUUUAGAUGUGUCACUAAAAAAUUUAGUUUUCCAUUUACAUUCUUCUAAGUGUGAUCCAUUCAGGCAAGGUGUAAAUAUUACUAUCUUUGAAAACAAUGUUUUUCACCCUGUAGCUACCUUGAGAAAAUAUAUCAAAUUCAGAACUGAUUCAGGAGCUAAGCCUCAGUCGCCUUUGUUUGUUAACGAUGAUUAUGACCAUACUCCCUUAUCAAGGGAUCGCUUUAUUUCUUUGCUGCGAGAUUUACUUUUUAGACUUGGGUAUAAAGAUGAUAAAUUUUGUGGGCAUUCAUUUAGAAUAGGAGCAGCUACAUCUGCAGCUGCUGCAGGAAUUGAAGACCACAUUAUUCAAACUUUAGGUAGAUGGUCAUCUGAUUGUUACAUGCGUUAUAUUUGAACCAACCCUAAAACUAUACAUGCAGCUCAAGAUAAAAUGUGUUUUUAAGUGAACAUUUCUCUUAGUAGAUUUUAUACAUCAUUUCAUAUUGUUUGUACAUAAAUGUGAGGUUAAAUAUAUAUAUAAUUUGUAUUUUUUUUUAAAGGUACUAUUAUUCAUUGUUUUUUAUCAUAUAUGAUGUAUCUUUUCUUGGGGGCUUUCACUCAUUAAUUUCGCUCAUUUUGGCCAACAUAAUUUCAGGGAAAUUAUUUUCCCCCAAUUCAUUUAUACAUAUUUAAAAUUAUUAAGUACAUUUGUACACCUGCUGGCAUCUACCGCAGGAUCUAUUGUUAUUCGCAUUAGGUAACCUGCUGGCAUCUACCGCAGGAUCUAUUUUUAUUCACAUUAACCUGCUGGGAUCUACCGCAGAAUCUAUUUUUAUUCACAUUCACCUGCUCGGAUCUACCACAGGUUCUCGAAAUUAGUUUUGUCUGCUCGGAUCUACCACAGGCAUAAGUAAUAUAUAUUUUUUGUAUGUUUUGUCUGCUCGGAUCUACCACAGGCAUAAGUAAUAUAUAUUUUUUGUAUGUUUUGUCUGCUCGGAUCUACCACAGGCAUAAGUAAUAUAUAUUUUUUGUAUGUUUUGUCUGCUCGGAUCUACCACAGGCAUAAGUAAUAUAUAUUUUGUGUAUGUUAUUCGUCAGAAACUGUAAUGAGUAGCCCCCUAGAAAGCCAAAUGUUACAUCAAGGUAUUAAUAUGUAAAUGUUUUACUAUUAACUAUGUUUUUUAUAUUAUAUGAAAAUGUUUUAGUCCUUAGUGAGUUUUAGUUUUUUGUUUUAAUAAAUAGUUUAGUUUUA